rnacentral:rRNA from 1 species
UACGUAGGGGGCAAGCGUUGUCCGGAUUUAUUGGGCGUAAAGAGCGUGUAGGCGGCCAUUCAGGUCAGCUGUGAAAACUCGAGGCUCAACCUCGAGACGUCGGUUGAAACCGUUUGGCUAGAGUCCGGAAGAGGAGAGUGGAAUUCCCGGUGUAGCGGUGAAAUGCGCAGAUAUCGGGAAGAACACCCGUGGCGAAGGCGGCUCUCUGGGACGGUACUGACGCUGAGACGCGAAAGCGUGGGGAGCGAACAGA